GAUGAACGCUGGCGGCGUGCCUAAGACAUGCAAGUCGAGUGGGUUUAGACCCACGGCAAACGGGUGAGUAAUAUUUAGGAACGUGCCUCUAGUUGAGCAUAACCUAUCGAAAGGUAGAGUAAUUCUCAAUGUGACCGCAAGGUUAAAGUCGCAAGACGCUAGAGAAGCGGCCUGGACACCAUCAGCUAGUUGGUAAGGUAAUGGCUUACCAAGGCUUUGACGGUUAGGGUCCCGAGAGGGAUAACCCCCACACUGGAACUGAGACACGGUCCAGACUCCUACGGGAGGCAGCAGUUUGGAAUUUUGGACAAUGGGCGAAAGACCUGAUCCAGCGACGCCGCGUGGACGAUGAAGG
rnacentral:rRNA from 1 species